rnacentral:lncRNA from 1 species
CAUGCACGGCUGGAUGUUCCCCUGGCUGGAUGCGUGCACAGCUGGAUGCGUGCACGGCUGGAUGCAUGCAUGGCUGGAUGCGUGCAAGCCUGGAUGUGACCCUGGCUGGAUGUGUGCACAGCUGGAUGUGACCCUGCCUGGCUGGACGCACGGCUGGAUUUGUGCACGGCGGGAUGCACGCGCAGCUGGACGUGUGCACGGCUGCGUGUCCGGAUGGAUGCAAGCGCGGCUGGAUCCGUGCACGGCAGGACGUGCUUGCAGCGUGCCGCGAGUGUGGCAGGACGCGCGGGUGGCCGGACGGGAGCCUCGGCCCGGCGUGGGCAGCAGCGCAUGGCGACGGCGUGGCCGCGGGACGCUAGGACCCUGCCUGGGCCGGCGGCUCUCCGGCUGGCGGUUAUUGGCUCUGCCUUGCCGGGAGCUGGACUCCCUCGCUUCCCGCCGAGGCUCGGCCUCUCGGAUGAUUAAUUUUUCUCUUCCCCCCCCUCCCGCUCCUCUGGCGCUCGGCAGAGCCCCGCGGCCGCUCCCGCCGCCCGCCGCCCCGCUCCGGCCUCCCCCGCGGCCCGGUGAGUAGAGCCCGGAGGGGCCCCGCGCCGGAGCUGCUGGGGUGCCGCGGGACGGGGUCCCCGCAACGGGGGGGGAACCGGGGGGGUCUGGCCUGCGCCGGCCCCGGUGGCUGAGCCCGGGUGUCCCAGGGGAGCAGGGGGUGACGGUGGCCUCCCACCCUGCCCCUGUGCCCCCCAUGGGAACUGCCGCCUCCCCUCCGCCAGCCCCGCCGCGGGUGGGGGCCCAGGCGUCCUGGCGCAGCCGUCCCGGGGGUGGGACCGGGGCUGUUCGGGGCCGACCCUCUCCGGCAGCGGGGACGGAGCGGGGACGGAGUGGGGUUUCCGGCAUCGCCGCUGCCGCCGGCGCGGGGACCCCCCCGGUGCAGCCCCCGCCCCCCUGCCCGUGCCGRGCGCUCGGGGCUGCCGGCAGCGCGGGGGUUAUCCAUUAGCCAGGCAGCCCUUCCCGGCAGCUCCGGCUGCUCCGCGCUUCCUGCUCCGCCGCAGCCGGCGCCCGGCGAGCAGGCAGACUUUGGACCCGUCCCGCCUGGCCGCCCCCGGGCCCGGGACCCCGGCGCCCAAGCUGGGCCCAGGCGUCCGGGUGCUGGCCUGCGCCACGGGUGUCUGCCCCACCCGCGCCCCAGCCGCCGUCGCCCCACAGGAGCCCCCCGCCCCGCCGGCUGCAGACCCCCGCCGCCCGCCUGCCCGCCGGCCCCGGCAUGGAGCGAGCCGGCCCGGGGCUGGGCAGCGACCGCAGCCGGGUGGCCCCCGGCCGAGACCCGCUGCGGCCGGCGACCCUGCCCAGCCUGCCGGACCUCGGGGACCCCGCGGAGGCGCUGAGGAGGGAGGAGAGGAAGAUGAAAGCCGCUCGCCUCAAGUUCGACUUCCAAGCCGAGUCCCCCAAGGAGCUGACGCUGCGGAAGGGCGACAUCGUCUACAUCCACAAAGAGGUGGACAGGAACUGGCUGGAGGGCGAGCACCACGGCCGCGUGGGCAUCUUCCCCUCCAACUACGUGGAGGUCCUGCCGCCCACGGAGGUGCCCAAGCCCAUCAAGGCGCCCACCAUCCAGGUGCUGGAGUACGGCGAGGCCCUGGCCCUCUACAACUUCCGCGGAGAGCUGCCCGUGGAGCUCUCCUUCCGCAAGGGCGAGCGGGUCUGCCUGGUGCGCCGGGUGGACGAGAACUGGUACGAGGGGCGCAUCUCCGGCACCAGCCGCCACGGCAUCUUCCCGGCCACCUACGUGCAGGUGCUGAAGGAGCCGCGGGUGAAGGCCAGCGCCGAGGAGCUCCCGCCGCCCGCCGCCGCCGCCGCCAGCCCCCG